rnacentral:misc_RNA from 1 species
AAAUGCGAUAAGUAGUGUGAAUUGCAGAAUUCAGUGAAUCAUCGAAUCUUUGAACGCACAUUGCGCCCCUUGGUAUUCCAUGGGGCAUGCCUGUUCGAGCGUCAUUUGUACCCUCAAGCUCUGCUUGGUGUUGGGUGUUUGUCCCCGUCUCCGCGCGUGGACUCGCCCCAAAGUGAUUGGCAGCCGGCGUACUGGUCCCGGAGCGCAGCACAUGUCGCGCAAACGAGUGCCUUGGUACGGCGGCGUCCAUAAGCCCCUCUCUCACGCUCUUGACCUCGGAUCAGGUAGGGAUACCCGCUGCACUUAGGC